rnacentral:lncRNA from 1 species
AUGAGGAGAGGAAAAGUGUUGAACGAAGUGAUAGUGACCUCAGCUUGGUUCAUAUCAUGCUCAUUAAUGCUUGAACAUGUGGCAGUGGCUAGUUGGUUAAAAUGAACCAUCGCAUGCCUCGGGUGCGAUCGUGGGGAUCUAUGGGAACUCAACUCUGCCAAUCCCGAGUUGACAUGUGUCGAGCAUCCAAUGGCUUAAUUGGGGCUAGUGUUUGAUCUGAACCAUCCCCACCAUCUAUAAAUAGUGGUAUGCCUCAUUUGACCCUACUUCCUUUGUGCUGAUGUUGAGGUCUGAUAAUUUUCGGUGAGAGCUCGACUAUUUUCUGGUGUACUCUUGAUAAUUUCCAACCACCUUUUGGCGAGAGCUCCAACUAAUGAUCCAAGGUUAGCUUCGCUUCGGAUCGGCCUCAUCCUUUGUUUUUUUUUAUUUAAAAAAAACUAUUUUUUGAAAUCUUCUCUAGAGAUGAGCGGUACUCUCAGU